rnacentral:rRNA from 1 species
UUUAAGUUUGUAGGUGAACUUGGGAAGGAUCAUUUU